rnacentral:rRNA from 1 species
GUUCUAACGUUGGCCCCUUACCGGGGUUGCGGACAGUGUCUGGUGGGUAGUUUGACUGGGGCGGUCUCCUCCUAAAGCGUAACGGAGGAGCACGAAGGUUAGCUAAUCCUGGUCGGACAUCAGGAGGUUAGUGCAAUGGCAUAAGCUAGCUUGACUGCGAGCGUGACGGCGCGAGCAGGUGCGAAAGCAGGUCAUAGUGAUCCGGUGGUUCUGAAUGGAAGGGCCAUCGCUCAACGGAUAAAAGGUACUCCGGGGAUAACAGGCUGAUACCGCCCAAGAGUUCAUAUCGACGGCGGUGUUUGGCACCUCGAUGUCGGCUCAUCACAUCCUGGGGCUGAAGUAGGUCCCAAGGGUAUGGCUGUUCGCCAUUUAAAGUGGUACGCGAGCUGGGUUUAGAACGUCGUGAGACAGUUCGGUCCCUAUCUGCCGUGGGCGCUGGAGAAUUGAGGGGGGCUGCUCCUAGUACGAGAGGACCGGAGUGGACGCAUCACUGGUGUUCGGGUUGUCAUGCCAAUGGCACUGCCCGGUAGCUAAAUGCGGAAGAGAUAAGUGCUGAAAGCAUCUAAGCACGAAACUUGCCCCGAGAUGAGUUCUCCCUGAGACUUUAAGUCUCCUGAAGGAACGUUGAAGACGACGACGUUGAUAGGCCGGGUGUGUAAGCGCAGCGAUGCGUUGAGCUAACCGGUACUAAUGAACCGUGAGGCUUAACCUU